ensembl:lncRNA
AUGACAGUUAUAGAUCUGGUGGUUUAUACAUCAGACAGAGCUGAGUCUGGAAUAUGCACUUCUUCACAGAAAACUGUUGAAUGUCAGUACAGGCUAAGCCCAUCUUCACGGUUCAAGGUUUCAAUUUCUUUUCAGCUACUCUCCCACAAAGACCCAAUCUGUGGGGCUUGUCGGCAGUGUUGGGUAACCACUGUGCAGUUCUGUGUUUUAGAAAUGGAGGUGACAAAGGGGGAGGUGGUGUUGUGUUGGACUCUCCUGGCCUCUGUCAUCUCAGUGUCCGCCGUGUUCAGCACUCUGUGUGUCUUUGGACUCUGUUACCAAUUGGGUAAACCCACAUCCAUGUGCACUUCCUGUGUGAAAAGGAAUUCCAGUUUAACGGUAAAAUAAAUGUUUCCCUCCAUAAAGAAGCUGAGGUUAGACUCAAUGAUCUGGAGUCUUGAUUGCUGCUGGCCUUGCCUUGAUAAAACAACUUUACAGCAGGUUUAAGAGAGUUAAAGAUUGUGACGUUUCAUCUGAUCAAUGUCUUUCCAAACUGUUCUUCUAAUUACACUUAUGUUAUCAAAUUAAAGUUGUCUGACACUUAUGUCUGUAUUAAUGGUUCAGGCUGAACCUUACCUUACAUAGAUCAUAUUUAAUCAUAUUUAAUCCAGCCCACUACAGGCUCAGCAAAAAAUCUGCUCUUUUCCCACUUUCCUUUCAAAUAAAGCAUGAAAAUAUCAGACUAUAAAUAUUGAAUAUUUACUCUUUAACCCUGAUCUGUUUUUUUAUAGGAGGAUAGUCUGCACUAUGCCAGUCUGAUGCACAUCAAGGGGCGUCUCACCACCCAGGGACUGCCAGGAUUGGCCCAGGGAAAUGUUACCUCAUAGAUGGUUAUAUAUCUGAGUAAACAUGUUCCAGAAUGGACAUCGCCAUUGAUGGCAUUCACCAUUUUAUUGUAGUCAGUUGGGUAGGCUUUCAAAUUUAAUUGGCCCUCCGGUUAGUCAAGUGAAAACUCCAAAUGGGUAAUCAGGACAACCCUGCUGUUGCAGGAACAGAUGGAACAGAUACUCUUUCUGUCUCUAUGUGUUAACUUUAUACAUGAAUGGAAAAUGACUAGAACAGAACCAAUUGGGGUAGCAGGCUAGGUCUGCAUGUAAUUACUGAACAGGAGUGUGAGAAUGGUGAACUGUUGUCAGAUUGGCUUCCCUUUUGCCAGUCACUCAGAAACAGGAACCACUACAUUUUCUGAAUUCCAAUAAUAAAUGUACAGUUGUGCUCAAAAGUUUGCAUACCCUUGAAGAAUUGGUAAAAUAUGUAAAAACAUUUAAGAAAACAUGAGUGAGCAGGCAAAACACGUCUUUUAUUUCAUAUAGGAUUAAUAUUCAACUGCAGGUUAUAACAGAAUGGCACAAUCAUAAAAAAAAAUGAACUGACCCCUGUUCAAAGGUCUGCAUACCCUUACUUCUAAAUACUGUGUAUUGCCCCCUUUAGCAUCAAUGACAGCUUGCAGUCUUUUGUAAUAGUUGUCUACGAGGCUCCACAUCCUUGCAGUUGGUAUAGUUGCCCAUUCGUAUUGGCAAAAUGCCUCCAGGUCAUGCAAAGUCUUUGGUCGUUUUGCAUGAACCACGUUUGAGAUCUCCCAAGAGUGACUUGAUGAUAUUAAUGUCAGGAGACUGUGAUGGCCACACCAGAACCUUCUCCUUUUUCUGCUGUGACCACUGGAGGAUCAACUUAGCCUUGUGCUUAAGGUCAUUCUCGUGCUGGAACGUCGUGCAGAAGAAUGCAAAUUGCAUGCCAGUAUUUUCUGAUAACAUGUUGCAUUCAUCUUGCCAUCAAUUUUUCCCAGAUUCCCCAUGCAUUUAGAGCUCACACCCCCCCCCAAAACAUCAGUGAGCCACCACCAUGCUUCACAGUGGGAUGGUAUUCUUUUCAAUAAUAGGCCUUGUGACCCCUCUCCAAACAUAGCGUUUAUGAUUAUGACCAUAAAGCUCUAUUUUGGUCUGGUCAAUCCAAAUGACAGUGUGCCAGAAGCUGUGAGGCGUGUCAAGGUGUUGUCAGGCAUAUUGUAAUCGAGCAUUUUUGUGGUAUUGGUGCAGUAAAGGCUUCUUUCUAGCCUUUUUGUUAAGUAUCGUCAUAUUGAGCUCCUUGAAACAACCACUCUUUCUCCAGAGCAAAACCUGUGGCAGUUUUGGCUGAAACCUUUCUUGGUCUACCUGACCUUGGUAUCAAGAGAUCCCAGAAUUUUCCACUUCUUAAUAAGUGAUUGAACAGUACUGACUGGCAUUUGCAAGGCUUUGGAUAUCUUUUUAUAUCCUUUUCCAUCUUUAUAAAGUUCCAAUACAUUGUUACGCAGGUCCUUGACAGCUCUUUUCUGCACCCCAUGGUUCAGUAUCUAGCCUGCUCAUCAGUGCAUCCAUGUGAGAGCUAAGAAAUUCACUGACUAUUUAUACAGACACUAAUUGCAAAUUAAAAAGCCACAGGUGUGGGAAAUUCACCUUUAAUUGCCAUUUUAACCUGUGUGUGUCACCUUGUGUGUCACACACAGGUUAAAAUGUAUACUUACCCAAACAUUCAAGGGUAAGUAUACUUUUGAUCAGGGCCAUUUGGGUGAUUUCUGUUAUCAAUAUGAUUUAAAAAGGAGCCAAACAACUAUAUGAAGUUAAAUGGCUUCAUAUGAUCACUGUCCUUCAAUAAAAAAACGUUUUGCAUGAUCAUUCAUAUUUUCAAAAUCAAUGCGGAAAUGUCACAAUUUCUGCCAUGGUCUGCAAACAUAUGAGCACAACUGUAUGUAUCAAUAAAACAAAUUCAUAUUGCAAUUUUUAUAAUGUAGUUUACAUGAAAAGGUAAUUUCACUGUGGGUCUACUUACCCAUAUCUGUUAAUACAGUAUUAACAUACCAUAUGGGACAUCAAAAUUGUACAUUUCUAUUGUAGUAGAAAUAUCUCAAACAGCAAAAAUUGGGUUUUGAAGCACUUGAGCGAACGUACUGUAGACGGACAACUUACCAUUAUUAAGGCUUCUCUCUCUCUUCUUUCUCUCAACAACACUUGAAAAUAUGUUAAGAACAUUUGUUUUGGGAAUUACGUCAUAACAUCAUACAGUUAACACCGCGGAAUAUACAGUGCCUUCGGAAAGUAUUCAGACCCCUUGACUUUCUUCAUGUUUUUGUUAUAUUAUAGAUAGUAUAGAUAGUAAACUUGAUCAAAUCCAGGUAUGUUAAGUGUGCACUCUUCUGAGAAGGGAUUUGUGCACAACGUUGUACAGUUUUUUUGGGCAGUUUCUCCCAUGGAAUAGCCUAAUAGUCUCAGAAAGAGAAUAGACUGACAUCCUUCAGAAGAAAGUUCUUUGUUUCUGGACAUUUUAAGCCUGUGAUUGAACCCACAAUUACUGACGCUCCAGAUACCCAACAUUUAUAAAGGCCAGUUAUUUUGGUUCUCUUGCUGUGUUAAAAUGAUGACAAAAGGUUUGUCUUAUGAUGAAUUAGCCUUUUAAAAUGAUAAACAAACACAUUGGAACACAGGACUGUUGGUUGCUGAUAAAGUUGAAAUAAAGUUGUAUGUAUUGUCAAAGAGGUUAUAACAUUUGCAACCAAGAUGAACCAGUGAUGCAAAGGUUUUCUGGGGAUGCAUUGAUUGAUUAAUUUGGAUGGAUUCAAAAGAACAUUGUAAGCUUGUAAAAAUGACUGAUUCUCUUCAAUGUGUUGGAGCUCAUGCAGGAAAAUAAAUGGCUGUAUUGAAG